GAGGGGCGUGGCUUCCCGUGAGGGGCGGGGCUCCGCGCGCCGCCGUUACCGCGGUGACCGCGGGGCCGCCGCUCCAGAAGGUUCCCGGGAUCGGGAAUCGGGAAAAUUCCCGGAAAUCGGGAAAAUUCCCGGAAAUCCAAUAAAUUCCCGGAAAUUCGGGAAAGGCGGAAAAUGCGAGAAUUGCGGGAAUCGCGGCCUCGCUCUGCCACGGGAUGGCAGUAAAAUAAAGCUGCGGCCUCUUCCCGGCGCCUGGAAACCGGCGGGACGGAAAGCAUCACGAGGCUGGAGCGAGGUAUCCAUGAGCUUUUCCAGGAAAACAGCCAUGAGGAGGAUGGAUGGAUGCCGUGAGGGAUGGGCAAGGCCAGGGAUGCUCCAGGAUCAGCGUUCCAGGCCACAUCCCCUUCCCAGGGCUCUGGGACUGUUCAUUAUCGCUUCCCUGCCCUGCUCGGAAACUUCUAACUUCCCAGCUGAACACGGAAAAAGUUUCAGCAGGAAGAAGCAAAUAAAGGGAAAACCCCCAGCAGAACUCUGGAAUAGUCACAGGGAAGUUUCAGUAAAAUAAUGGAUUUGGGAGAUCUUUCCCAGCCUUAAACAUAGAAGAUUUUGAGAUGAAGUUCUAGCCUUAAAUAUAGAUUUUAAGAUGAAUUUCCAGGAGCAGGAGAAUUUGCAGAAUUUUGUGUUUGAUUCAGGAAUUAUCUUAAAGAAAAUCCACUUGGCUGAUUUGUGACAAGUGAACAUUCCAGCCUGGAACGGCCCUAAAACCAACCAGAGCAUCUCUCUUAAUCAGAAUAUCGACAAGUAAUUAAUAAAUGGCCACUGUAAAUGAUUUAAUGACUAUGCUAAAGACGCUGCUUGUGCUGUUUUUAGUGUGAAUAAACUUUACCUUCAGAGCAGUUUUAAAUAA